rnacentral:misc_RNA from 1 species
AACCUAGCACACCUGCGGUGUGUACCUGCGGAAGGAUCAUUAUAGAGUUUUCUAAACUCCCAACCCAUGUGAACUUACCUUUUGUUGCCUCGGCAGAAGUUAUAGGUCUUCUUAUAGCUGCUGCCGGUGGACCAUUAAACUCUUGUUAUUUUAUGUAAUCUGAGCGUCUUAUUUUAAUAAGUCAAAACUUUUAACAACGGAUCU